rnacentral:lncRNA from 1 species
GUUUUAAUUAGGUUUAGUUGGAUGAGAGAGAAUUUAGAGAGAGAGAAAAGAAGAAGGUAACGGUGAAUGGGAGAGCGGUAGACCCGGAUCAUGUUAUUACAGAUAAAAAAGGUUUUAAAGUCGUGUAGAGGACGAUGGACCCAUUUCUCUGUUCCCCUAGCUCUCCCAUAUCAAUGUACAUCUCUCUCUCUACAACUAUACAAUUCUCUCUUCUUUCUCUCUCUUGUUUAUCUAUCCAUAUUUCUUCUGUAGUGUAGGGUUUUGGAAAACGUACAAAAUUGACGCAACCUACCUAAGUUAAGUAUUGGGGUUUCAUUUCAUUUGUACAGUAAAUAGUAAAUACAUACAUAUAUAUUUUAAUGGCGAUUCUCUCCCUCUCUCUUUCUCUCUCUAGUUUCUCUCUCAUCAAAAAGUAAGGAUGAACAGUGAGUGCUCGAAAUCCCACAAUAGAGAAACUGUUUCUCUCACACAUACUGACACUCGGAAAGAGGUUGUGGCCAGGAGCCUGUACUGAUCAUCUGAAACACGAAUUCAAUACGCUCAUACAUAUAUAUACACAUAUAUAUUUGUAUGUAUCUACAGUAAUAAGAUUAUUAUAUAUAUAUUAUUGUGAUUUGUGUGUUGUCUCUUCCUAAAUGAACUGAUUCUUUGUCUGAGAUUUUCGCAUCUGGAGGAUGCACACGCAUUAUGACGUCAUCACUAAUCAAAGAAGAAUGAUGAGUCUUACUAAUUAAUUAGCUCUAUCACUCAUUCAAUUUUGCUUAAGUUUUGAUUUUUAUUUUAAACAUAAUUAAUGCCUUCUCCUCUGCUUAUUCUUUUUGUUCCUACUAUAACCCUAUUAUACCCACUGCCUAAUUAACAGUGUUACUAUAUGCAAAUACCUCUCUCUCUCUCUCUCUCUCUCUCUCUCUCUCUCUCUCUCUCUCUCUCUCUCUCUAUAUAUAUAUAUAUAUAUAUAUAUAUAUAUAUAUAUAUAUAUAUAUAUAUAUAUAUAUAUAUAUAUCAACAGCACUUCAUUUAGAUACAUACACGAUGAGUGUACUAAAAUAUAUAAAUUAAAUUAUGUUGAAAUAAAGUAAGUAGAUGCGUACUAUAUAUAUAAUAUAAAAGAACUCUGAAGAUAAAUUUUAUUUUUUUAUAUUUGUCUAACCUUAUAUAAAGUUAUAUAGAACGAAUAAGAUGAAAAUAAUUUCUUGUAAUAACUUAGUCAUAACUCAUAUAUGUAUAAUUUUUUUGAGGAAUAGUUUAUUUAUAAUACACUAUUAUAAAUAUAUAUGUGUGUGUGUGUGUGUGUGUGUGUGUCUUGAUGAGACAGAUAUUUAUAUGUAUGUUGAGUAACAGCUCCAAGCAGGCGUGACAAAAGUUUGGUAUGAAAACUGACAAAUAUAUAUUCGACAUUAAUGUUUGAUUUUGAUUGAAAGAUAUACAUUCAAUGAUAUAAGCUGUUUUUUUGUUGAUUUUAGUUAUACAUAUUUUGCUGUAUUAUUAAUUGCAAAGAAGGUUUAAUUAAUUUCUUUUAGGGAGAGGUGUUUUGAAUGAUAUAAUUUAUAUUGUACUCGUCGAAUUAUGUUUGAAUAUAUUAAUGAAAAGUAAAUAUUAAUUAGUUAAUGUUUGAAUAUUGAUUUUGAAUGUGAAAAAAUAACCUUGGAAAGGCCUUCGAAAAUCCUUACAUACAUAUUAGUUUCAAAUAAUGGAAUUAAUAAUUGGUGCUGCGAAAAAAAAAAAAAAAAACUUACAACAAAAAAACAAAUGUAUAGUACUUUUAAUUUUUAAAUGAUUAAAUAUAAAUUUUUAUGGUGGGAUUUUCUUAAAAAGACAAAAAAUAAAUUGUGGUCACGCAGAGGUCAUGACGGUUAUUUUGGACUUCUCUAGUAUGUUUAUAUAUAAGUUAUAAGCUUUUAAUUUGAAUUCCACUAAAGAACCUAAAACUAUAACCUAAAGUUCAAAUAAAAAAUACCGAGAAUAUAAAAUGUUGAUGUAAAUAAAUUAUAGGAUUUUUCGUGAAUUGGGUUGGUUGAUUAUUGACCAUUACACCAACUCAAUUCAACUAACCAAUUAAUGUAAAUAUUGAAAACCAUUAUUCAUCCAAUUCAAAUAAAACCUAGCGCUUAGCACAGCAAAAUAAAUAAUAAUAAUAUAAUAAUAAUAAUAAUAAUAAUAAUAAUAAUAAUAAAUGUGAAGAAUUGAAAUUAAGGCUAUGGUGUUACUCUUAGGAAGGGUGGCCCAAGUUUUGUUGGUCCUUUUCUAGGCUGCCCCAUGUGAAUAGGGAGGUUAACCCCCCACCCCACAUUCAUGUACUAUUUUUUCACUUUUCAUUUCAUUUCAUUUCAUUUAACACGUACAAUUUCCAUUCUCCGUGUAAAUUGCAUUUUUCAUUUCAUUAUUUCAAUUCCACCAAAUUAAAAAUGGUGUACGAAAUAAAUUCAAUGAUAUUAUAUAAAGUAGAUUUCAAAUACACUAGUGAAGGAAGACCUAUUUGCCACUAAAAUCCAAAAUAAAAUAAAAAUGUUGAGAAAUAAAAAAUAAAAUAAAUAAAUAAAUGAAGUGAUGAAUUGUAAAAUAAAUAUAUUUAUAUAAUAAAUGAAUAGUGGCCCAUAAUCCAAGCUGAUCAGGUGCUGCACCACUGCCCUCCGCCUGACGCUUCCUCACCUACAAGUAUUUAUACCACCCUCUCACUUUUCUUCUUUUACCAAAAUAUAAUUAAAUUUAUUAUAAAUAAAUUAAUUUCAAUUGGAUUUUCUAUUUAUACACUAUAAAAUAUUUAUUAUAUUUAAAAAGACUGUCUAAGAAAGUGGAACAAAUUAAAUAAGGUCAAAAAAGGAAUUGAUUAGUGGUCGGAAAACAUUUAAUUUUAGAAAUAAACAGGGGACCUCAUUAUCUCAAUGUUGUCUAAUCGCUAUACCCUGGGAAUGAGUUGUCAACAUAAAAAAAAAUUUAAUCAUUGUACUUAAGAAAGCCAUGGAACUAAAGUGCGAUUAUUGUUUUGGUCGAGAUAAUUAGUCAAACGUUUAAAUCGUUAAUGGUCCCGAGUAUGACACGUUUCAACUUAUGAGUGGCUUCACAUGUAUACUUUUAAUUUUGUUAUUUCUCCUGUCCAGUUAGACCUAUAUAAAUUAAUACGUUUGGGACUAUUAACAUUCUAUUAAUCUAGAAGAAUAUUAAACUAUUGCAUUAACAAUUUAACUAGCUUUCACCAAGUUGGGACGGAGGAGAAUAUUAAUUAGGUGAAAUUAAAUAAUUUAUCGAGGUUUUACUAUAAAUUUCUAACAUUUUUCUUAUUUGAAUAAAAAAUAAAUGGGUUUAAGGUAAAUGGAUAUGUAGCCGAAAUAUACGUGGGCCUCAUGUUAGUAUAAUGGGCCGUAUUUUGAGAAACAAUUUAACUAACGUGGCCAUAAAUCAAUUUAUCUAUUGAUUUAUUUUUAUGAAAUAUAUACCUAAAAUGAAAUUGUGAGAUUGUCUGCCGAAUUGGUGUGACAGCCCAUCAACUUGAAGAUUUCCAAAAAAAAUAAAAAAAAAUACACUAUAUAAAUACACUUGUGUUCCCUUGGUGCGAGUCAAAAUCCAUGUACCUUACAAACCACUUUGUCAUCAUCCGUACAAUUGGGAAUAUAUAUAAAUAUGAUUAAAAAAAAUAUUAAUUCGUGGUGUCAACAAUAUUUAUUUUUUUCAUCAGUAAUAGUUCAUUAUUAUUGUGACUAUUUUUUUGGGGUCACUAUAUAAUACGUGUUGUCCGUACUGAAAUCUAGUGUUUGUUAAUUCAACUAACUCUCUCAAACUGUGCACAAUUGUUUUAAGCAAUUAUUACACAUUACACAAAACAUCCUAAUUCAGGAAUUAAAGAGACAGAUGGUCACGUUUGAAGAAAUUAUUGCUUAAUUACAUUCACGGAAGAUAGCAGCAGCUUCUUUAUUAAUGGAAACACCACUGCUUUAUAGAGAUUACAAAGACUCGUAACACUAGGAGAAAUCUCUUUCUCUUUAAUUUAUUUUUCCCCAUUUUUAUCUCCUUUUCUUAAUAAAAUUAUCCUUUCUCUUAAUUUUAUUUUUUAAUUAUCACAAUGUAACCUUUGUUAGUUAGAUCAGUUGACAAUAAUGCGAGAGGUCAAAAUUGGAUUAGACACCAUAUAACAUCAACGUACGUCUCACAUUCCAUUUCCAGCAAAUAAAACAUUCUUAUAUUAUUAAAAAUAAAAUUAAAAAAAACAAAAGGUACGUUGAGAUAUAUUGAAUCACUAACUCAUGAGUAGUACUGUUAUAUAUAUAUAGUGUAAUAAAUAAAUUAAUCUCCAUCAACAACAGUAUAAUUAACCCAACCCAGAAAUCCAUUAACCCAGAAAUUCACAACUGGUUUGCACUUUGUAAUUUCUUCUCAACUUGCCCUAAAAUUAUUCAGACAAAUUAUUCUUAAUUACUCUAAAAUUUUCACAGUAGUACAGCAAGGCAACACGUAUAUAUAAAUCUAUAUAAAUGGAAUCAGUAUCACCAUUUCAUGCAUAUGGAAUAUUAAUAAUAUAUAUAUAUAUAUAUACAAUGUCGUCGUCGCAAUCUACUGGAGGAAGCGGCGGCGGCAGGGUUUCCGGGCGACACCCGAUUUACCGGGGAGUGAGGCGGAGGAAGAGCAGCGGGAAAUGGGUAUCCGAGAUUCGGGAGCCGCGGACGCCGAACAGGGUGUGGCUGGGCACAUUCCCCACCCCUGAAAUGGCGGCUGUUGCAUAUGACGUGGCGGCGCUGGCUCUUAAGGGCACGGAAGCGAAACUCAACUUUCCCAAUUCAGCUUCUUCUCAUCCCGUUCCUGCUUCCACGUCACCGCAGGAUAUUCAGGCUGCAGCCGCCGGCGCGGCUGCUGCGGCUGGGGCCGCCGGAGAUGCUAUCUUCGGCCGGAAUAAUAAUAUACCCGAAACUGAUGAGGUGGCGGCGGCGGCACGGUCUCAUGAAGAAAUAUUCCCGGGAUGGAAUAUUGAUCAUGAUGAAGAGUUUGUUGACGAGGAUUUGAUAUUUGAUAUGCCUAAUGUUCUUGUGAACAUGGCUCAAGGAAUGAUGAUUAGCCCACCGCGCCUGGGUCCUUCUGAUCAUAAUUAUUAUGGCGAUAAUCAUGUGGAUUAUUAUGAUAAUGAUGAUCAUAACCUCUGGAAUUAUCCCUAAUUAAUUAAAUGCGCACUGCACGUACCAUACCUAAACGUACUUAAUUAUACGUCUAGCUAGUUCGAACAAUAUUGUUUUUUUCAAUAAAUUAUAAGCUAGUAAUUAAUCUCUGUUGGAAGAUUGACUACGUGUGUGGACUGUGGAGUUCUGGUUAAUUAAUUAUAUAUAUAAAUAAAUAUAUAUAUAUAUAUUUGAUAAUCAAAUAUAAUUAUGAAAGUAUAUAUGAGUGUAUUGCAAGUUCAUUAGAUAGUUAUUGUUGCUUGUAAUAUAAGAUUUCCUGCCUCUUCUCAUAUGUUCUUUGCCUUGAUAAGUUUUAUUAAUUGCACCUAAUCCACCUCAAAUAUUUAUAAAACCUUUCAGUAUGUAUUCUAGGGUUUGUUCAAUGCUACAUUCAUUGAACAUAAUCGGAUUACAUAUAUACACCCAUACAUAUUUUACCGCCAUGCACGUACAAUAUGUAUAUAUAUGCAUGUAUGUGUGUAUAAAAUGUGGAAAAACUACCUAUCGUGACUCAUUAAUUUGGUGUAACAUCUUGUAAACCUAUUUUGAUUCUAGCAUGUUUCCUCACCCAAAAUAAUCAUAUAAUUAAGUUGAGUAAAAUAUAUAGCUUUAUCAUAUAGUUAUCUAAUUAGAUUACUAUCGAGAAUUAAUUCGUUGAUCGCUUUUGUUGCAUCAACGAAUCAUGAUAUAACUAGAUUAACCAAGUAUUUAAUUGAGUUUUGACUAAAACGAAAAAUUAAGCUAUCGGGCUAUGUUAUAAUUAAUUAGUUUAGUCAAUUUAGGAAUUAUUUAAUCAUUGAUUUUCCUAGGGUUUUUUUAACAACUGUUACAUUGAGUUCUGUGUUUCUUUUCUUACUUUCUGUUAACUCUCUCAUUCAUCGGUAUCUUUUGAUUCUUUUAACUAUUUCAGAAAUCGCGCAAUUAGUAUGACGAACAUGUAGCGAUUGGAGCUUGACCGUCGGCCACUGAAUUUUUUUUAAUCAAAAAAUGAAGUGUCAUUUCCGACCGAUUCAAAAUAAAAUGUGACUAAUAAGCUUAGCUACUAGAAUAUUUAAUUUAACACAACGUAAGUGUUCAUAUUUAAUUUAGUUACCAAUAUACAUUUAAGUUUCUACUACAGUAGUUAAUAUUCUUCUUCCUUUACAUCAGAAGAUUAUGUGAAUUAAAAACUGCCCUCUUUAAAUUUCUUUUUCAAAUUAUAGUUUUAAUUGAGUCGAACAAUAAAGUGUUUAAAUUGACUCGAAUAAAAACGAGUUUUUGCAAGUAACAAAAGAAUUCCCCCAGAAACUACGCUUUGUGGAAGAUCGCAUCUGGGCCAUGUAGUGCAACAGUGUGUAUAAGGUAGCAAUAAUUUUGGUGGAGUAGGUAAUUAGUGAUAAUUAGAGAUUAAGCAAAAGAAAGUUAGCGUAAUAAUCAUGUCUUUUGACUCGCUAAUACGUUGAUAAUUAAGUCUCAACUGUUCAUGGAGAAGAUGACAUCAACGAUUGCUGCCUUUUGACAGUUGAAAGAGCAAAUUAAAUAGGUGGUUACAGCCACACUAACUAGUAAUUAUUUUUUUUCUUAUAAUCAAUUAUAAUUACAAGAAAUUUAAUUGGUCCCAUAAUCAUCUUAGCUUCUAGCUACUUGCUGGCAAGGCCCAUAAGAUACACAAGCUCUAUUUAAUUUUUUUUUUUUUAUAAAAAAAUAAAAUAAAUCUAAUACAUAAAUGUACAUAGUCAGGUAAACAGAACUCUCGUGUAAUAACUCGUAAAUAAAAUUAGACGUGUAGCACUUGACAAAACCUUAUAGAUUUUUAGUUUCUUUGAUUGUUGAAGAACUAUCAAAAUAUAGUCGAAUAUAUGAAUUAAACAAAAAGUUAAAUGAUUAAAUAAGGAUUUUCAUUUCCACAUGUAUUAUUAUUAUUAUUUUUUUAUAUAGACAUACAUGAUUAAAUAUUAAUAAAUAAAAAAAAUAAAUAAAUGGUAUUGCAAUUUUGCCUAUUGUUGCCCUUCCUCCUUGACAACUCCUAAGCCAAUAACAUUUACAGUCUUCACUCUGAAUCUCUCAAGUCUUUGUUCUUCCCCCUCCGCCUCCGAUGUAAACAUAUCCUCACUUACUCCUCUAUCCGACGUCGUUUUAUCCUUCUCUCCACCUGCCUCUGAUUUUCCGAUCAACUUUUCCAGCUUAUCUGAAGCAGCUGCAGGCUUUUCCCCAAAAUCAUGUAAGUUUUCUCUUAUUAAUCUUUUAAUUGGAACUGGAAUAUUCUUAUUGGAAACAAAAUUCUCCAACAGUUCGUGCCCUUUCACAUUGAAUAUGUUUUCUUCUUUUGAUUCAUGAACUGUGGUCGUACAAUGUUUUUGAAGAGUAUGAAGCCCAUCCAAGAAAUCGAUUUCUCUGUGAUCCCGAAAGUGAUGGUGAAUCGAGUUCAAAACCCCACCCAACAUUUUCACGUCUUGAUUUUUUUGCUGAGAGAACGGAGAUUUUGUGUUGAUUGGUUGAAACUUGAAGAUGUAGAGAAUGUGUUUGUGUAUUUGUCUGAAUGAAAAAUGAGGAGUUGGAUUAUGGUAUAUAUAGAUAGAUAAACAAUCCCUUGACCUGUUAAUGCAGAUUAGUUUGACUAAUCAACCUUUGUAAACAUCAUUUAUUUAUUUAUUCAAAUUUAUUGAUUCUUCUUUGUCUGUGGAGACUUUUUCAAUGGUCAAAGUUGCUCAACCGGAGAGGGCUUCUUCUCUCUCACGUUGUGAGCUAUUUUUUUUUUAACUCAAUUUGCAGCCAACUUGAAUUGAUUAUAUUGUUGUUAAAAUGUUAAUCACUAUCAAAUUACGUAGUAAUACACCUUUGAAUUAUGAUUACCACCAAGGUUAGGCGUAUAUAACCAUAUGGGAUUCUAAUUUUGAAUGUCAGUCAGUGUUUUGGGAUUUGACCUUUCAAAAAACCAAAAAUAAAAAUAAAAGAGGGAGGGGGUGGGGGUGGGGUUGGGUAGUUGGGGGAGGCGGCGCAAAACUCAUUUAUGUUUUUUAGUCGCCAAAAAGUCAUGUAUGUUAUUGUUUUGGGUAAAUCACUAUCAACCCUUUUAGGUUUAGGUUAAGUCAAAUUACGAAAAACUACUCAUGUUUGAGUAAUUAUACUUACUCUCCUAAAUUAUGAAUCUUCUUAAACGUCGACCUUUGCGGUGUCAAAUUUAGUGGAAUCUUCUAGAUUAUAUGGAAUAUUCUCCAAUUAUUACUCAUUUUACUAUAUUCGAGCUCCACAUUUUUUAAACAAGAUAAUUAUAAGAUAUGUCUCUUAACAUGUAAACAUCAGAUUGUGAUGCAUAAUAAACAACAUUUUUGCAUAAAACGGGUACAAACUAGAGAUUAUUCCACGGAAUCUAGAAGAUUAUGUUGAAUUUGACCCAAUAAGGGUGGACGUGAAAAAAUGUCAUAGUUGAAGGGUAGUUGUAAUUACCCAAACAUGUGUGGGUUUUCGUAAUUUGAUCUUACCUCAUGCAAUAGUCCCUAAUUUACCCUAUUCUUUUUGAUAUUUUUUGGAUUUUUUUUAUAUGUUAUUAAAGGGCAUAUGUGUCAUCUUAAUCUAAAAAUCGUAGUUAGAGUACGAAAUUCCGCAAUUAAACAUACGAUGGCAAUAUAUUUUAGUACAUUCAAAUUUAUACAAAUACAAAUAAUAAAAUGAGUUCUGUUAACAAUCACAAUAAACAUGGGGGUGUAAAAUACAAAAAAUCCCCUGCUCCUCUCUGUAAGACAUUUAUUUCCCGCGUAAAUCACAACACAAACCAAGACUCCAACUAUUACAAUUUACAACAAAAGGGUGAAUCAAAAAGAGAGUAUAUUUCAUUCACACAAAUAAACACAUCGAAAAAUCGAAAAACAAAUUAGUACCGAUUCAUUCCUACGCCGCCGGGCGAACAUAACCCAAGAUCGUAAAAUAUGUCUGAGCCACAGUAAGAAGCAAAAGAACUAAAGCAGCCAACGCUGAAAUAAAAGACCACGGCGUAUUGAAAUAAGUGUACUUAAAACUCGCCAAAUGCACAUGCCAAUGGUUCUUGUAGUAAUUGUUCACCUCAUUAAACUCCUCCGUCAGAUAACACAUAUCGAUAUCGAACGUGACAUCCUUCCCCAUGUUGUUGAUAAACCUCGCUAUUUCAGCAUCCGUCCCGAAGUAAUUCUCGAGAAUAUUCUUAUCGCACAAAUACUCGACGUCUUUUGCGGUGUUGAUCAGGCAAUCCAACAGCGUCGCGUACGUCGUCAAAUGCUUGGAGCAGUCCCUGUGGCACUGCUCGUACGCCACGCAGUUCAGCAGAAACGAGCUCAUGAAAUCGUCGAUCGCUAUGGUCGGCAUUUCGAUGACUCCGUUCCUGAAUUUCACGACUAGAAAGUUUUCGGAGUUUCCGGGCUGUAGAUGGAUGCCGGCUUUCCUGAGCUUCGAAAUGCAUUGGAUGACGUGGGUGUUCGGGUAACGGGUUUGCUUCGGCUCUCUGUAGCCUUCUGGAAUGAAACUCGAACGGAGCAAAUCGAGCAAGUGUUUUCCGGUGAUUUCGCCUAAUUUGUGGACGAAUUCGUCGGAUCUUUGGAGGGCGUUGUUGAAGAAUGUGAGGGUUAAAUUGGAUAGGGAGGGGCCGGAUUGUUCGGAGGGCAUUAUCGUCAUAUCGAACAAGCGUUGGAGAACGAAAAAGGGGAUCUGGUUUUCGAGUCGGAUCAAAUCCCUAAGAAAAAACGGGUAGACCCACGACAUCGAAAGCAGGGGGUCGUCGGCUUCAAAUGCAACAACGCCGCCGAAUUUUCUGAAAAGCUCGACGACGAAGCAGCCAUCGAGAACCAGCAAUUCGGUGAAUUCGUGGACGGUGAAAUUGAUGGCGGUGGAGUAGCACUCCCUGGCUUUGGAUUCGAGUGGCUGAACGGAUUUCAAUAGAUCCUCCAGAACCAAGGGUUUGGUUCGGGUUCGUUUGAGGAGAGAGCCGAGGAAUCGCCACUUGUGCUCUUCGAUCAUUUUGAGGUUGGGUUUGCCGUGGUGGAAAGGGCCGACGGAGACGAUGUGGGGCUGGUAGCAGCGGCCGUUGAUGUCGAUCAGGCUUUGGGGGACUCUGAAGAUUGAGCAAGUGCUCCGGCCGGCGGAUCUACUCAGUAUCUGCGGCGAGUCGGCGAUUUUCUGCUGCAUAGAAGUCAGUCUGUCGACGUUGACUUGCCAGAUUCCGGCGGGGCGGUCGCCGGCGGUUUCAAUUUCUCCAGCAGAACUGCUGCCCAUAUCGACAAAAAAAGAAAAAGGAAUAUUCCGUGAAGAUUGGAAAGUGGAAUAUUCGGUUCACGUGAAAGUAAUCAUUUUCAUUCGUUCAUUCAUUGAAGAAAGAGAAGAGUGGAGGGGAGAAGUUUGUAAACAAUGGAGAUUUUUGUAUUAUUUUAGCUUACAUAUCUCUGUCGCUGUCAAAGAGCCAAACUAUGAUGACAAUUCAGUCACUAAUUAUUACUAACUCCCUGUUUUUACUGUUUUACCCUUUUGUUUCAUCAAAUUCAAGAACCAAGCAAAUUUCUUCUUGACUAUAGAAAUUGGAACGAAAUUUUCAAUUUCCGUCGAUUUUGAUUUCAAAGCAAAUUAGUAACCCACAAAAGAUCAUUUUCAUAAAGCAAAAAUAUAGACGCACUCCUAUGAACGUGGAAAAUCUAUCGGAUUGGUCGAUUCGAGUAGAAAUUGUAAGGUCAUCCAUAACUGUUUAGUUAAAACAAGAAUUCAUUUUGACUAAACCAUCUAGUUUCCUUUGAUUAUUGCGGGGCAUAUCUCAUUUCAAGAUUUAUCGACUGACUUGACCGGGAUUCUAUUUCCAAUCUACUUCCGGUUUACAACAUAUAUGUUCCGCUUAGACUCUCUUGAACAAUAUUUAUUUUUCAAUUUUUCCCCCACAUUUAAAAAUUUCGACACAUGCAUGUCGAAAAAACACAAAAAAUCGACAUGUAUGGUAAUAAAAAUGGGAACAUAUUUAAAAAAAAAAAAACUUGAAAAAUCGACAAGCUCAAAAAAACAUAAAUGGAUACCUUAAUAGGUUCUCCUACCAUGUAAACUACUAUUUUGUUCGUGAGCGGUGAUGGAAGGUGUGUAAAGGAGCCGACCUCGCCUGUUUUCAAAGGCUGGAGUUCGAGCUCGAGCUCGACUAUUAGUACUCAAAAAAUAGUCGUACUCAAAAAACCCAAGCUUGAGUAAAAGCUUUUGUCGAGUAAACGAGCCGGCUCAGCUCGUUUACCACAGCUAGGCGAUGGGCGACAGUAGACGGGUCUUCGACUAAUGAAAAUAAUGAAAAUGUUUUUUUUGAUUUUUCUUAAUGCCAAGAAAGGAAAAUAAAACAACAAUGACAUAGGCCCAAUAAAAGAAAAGUAGGAGGCCACAAUUGGAUUAAUGGAUCAAGAAUAGGGGCGUGAGCACUUGUCUCUGAUCUUGAUGGGCCAUUAGUCCAUCCGUACAAUUGGACCCCAACUCUACAAGAAUCAUUCAUAUAUAUAUUAUUUGCAAUUAAUUAAUUUUGUUGUUCAUCCAUGUAGUAAUACAAACUCCUCUGAGCACAAUUCUUCCACCAACACUUCAAAAAUUGCUAACUCCAGAUCUGCCGCCGUCUCUGCCACCUGCUCCGUAAAGCAUUUCCACCCAUCUAACUCUCUCUUGAAAUCCAACUCGAUUAUCUCAUCAGUUAGUUUGCGAUGCGAAAUUUUGUUAUCGUGUUUAUGAAGGGUUGAACAUUGGCUGAAAACUUGGUUGUUGACAAAUGAUGUGUCUGCUACACAUUGUUUCCUGUACAGUGUCGACAAUUGCGUCUCUUCUUUCGCGGAUUCUACGGUUUGUUCUUCGUAUUCAUCGUCUUCGUCUGAAGUUUCCAGAAAGUUCUUCUCGAGCUCGAUUGGAUCAAGUUCUGCUAGUUUUUCAAACCUUCUAAGCCUGUCCAGAAGCUGCUGCCUUGCUCCUGUACAUCAUUUAGACCACAACAACAUUUCAUUGGAUCCAAUAUUAUUAUUAUUAUUAUUCAUGAUUAUAAUUCCGAUUUUCAUUUUUUUUGGGGUCCUUUUGGAACGGAAUUAGAAUUAAUCUUUCAUUUAAAACAAUGGAAAAUCGUGAUUUCGAUAAAAUCCGUCCGAUUAAUUGUCACCCUAAAUCGUUCCACGACUCCACAAAGUGUUAAAUAAGAUGAAGGUUAAUUAAUGAUGAACAGACAGAUAAUUAAAGAUUGAAAUUUUGAAAUUAAGACAAGAAACAUUAUAGGAGUGAGAAUUAAUACAGAUCAUAAUUUUGAAAAAAUAUUCAAUUUUGCGAAAUUAAAUUCCACCAACUUAAUUAUUGUGGGCCGUACAUAAUUUAUUGAAAAUCUUAUCAUAUAUUACCUUCCAGGCGACAAAAUGAGAUCACAUUCAAGACAAGACUGAUGUGCAAGUUAUAACUACAUGAUUACUAAAUUAGUAAAUUAUAUAUAUAAAUUAGAAAUAUUAUAUAUAUAUAUAUAUAUAUAUAUGAUGAAUGCAUGCAUGCCUUGUGAUCAGUAUCAUAAAUCCUACUACUACUACAUGCAUAUUAUGUGGAGCACAGUUGAUUAAACUUAUAUUGGAUGGAACUAAUUAAUUAAUAUAUAUAAUUAUUAAUUACGUACUUUGAAUAUUCGCGUAGCUUCUGUCGAGAUCGUAAUCUUCGUCUGCAUCGACGCUUUCAUGUUCAUCGUCAUCUUCCGAGAAAGGAUCUAACACAGAUACUGGACUACAUUGUUCUUUUUCCUCUUCUACUGAAUCUUUUACCCCUGUGUAAUUUUCUUUCUCCUAUAUAUAUAAUAAUAAAAUAUUAACAAAAUAGAUAUAUAUAUCCGAAUUAAUUAGCAAUAUAAUAAAUAAUACUGUUAAGAUUAUUAAUACAGCAAUUUAAUUGGAAUAUAUGAGUGCUAAUAAUUUAUAACAUGGUGGUUACUACGUCAGUAAUCAUCAUUAGAAUCCAAGGAGGACUAAAUAAAAUUUAAUUUUGUUCUUUUGUGGGAAAUUAAUUAUAUGCCGGGACAAAAAAUUAUCUUUAAUAAUAAAUAAAAUAAAAUAAAGAUUUUCUGAUACCUAAAAAAUUCAGGAAAAAACAAAGGGUAUCUUGAAUUCUUGAUCUGUUGUAUUAUUGGUGGAAUUGAAGCCAAAAAUGUAGGGUAAAAUAGUAUAUUCCUAUACCGACAGCAUAAGCGAGUCACAAAGGAAAUACGUAUUUCACCCAAUCAAUCAUAAUUUACCAACAACGUAAAACGACGCCGUUUGAAUUAAAUAAGGGGGUGGGAGAAAAAGACAAAACCUUAUUUACGUGGCCAAUCGGAGAAACCACCGGAGAACAGCUAUCCGGCGUUAGAUGGCCGGAGGACGACGACGGAGUUUUGCGAGGAGAAAAUCUGAACGGGGUUGAGCAAAAUCGCGUUUCUCGAAUAGCCUCUUCUCUCGGUUCAUGGCUUCUCAUGCCACGCUUUUUAUUCUUGCUCCGAUCUUUCAGGAUUUUCAGAAAAGACCCAAAAAACCCUAACCCAGCGAUUUUCAUCGCCGGCGAUUUAGGAAGUUCUGACUGCUCGUGUUUUUGGAUCCUCAGAAGGAAAACGGCGCCGGUGGGCGGGGACUUAGACGGGCUGAUCUCCGGCGAUGUUCUGAUUUCCGGCGUGAAGAAACAGAGGUUGGUCUGUUUAUUCAAUUGGGAGCGCCUCUCUGCAAUAUAGGUAUGCAAUUGAAAAGGCUCCUGAGCUUCUUCCAGUAGCUCAUGCAGCAAGUACUGUUUAUGAGUCAUCAUCACAAACAAUUAUGGACUGCAAAGUAUAAUUAUAUAUAAAGUUGGGGGGAAAAUAUGAAAUUAUUUUGAAAUAUGUGAAUUUGAGGAUCGCAGGGGUUUGAAAGUGGGAAAGAAGCUCUGAAUACUACUAAAAGUGAUGGCGAGAAAGAAUGAGAGAGAAAGAGCCUCAUGUAUUAUUAUAUGGGGAAAAUACAGUUUUCGCCCCCUCAAACUUGCACAAAUUACACAUUUGGUCCCUUAUGUUUAGAAAAAUAAAUACUUGUGGUCUUUUCCGUCAAUUUUCCGUUAGUACUAAUGGAAUAGCUUGUGCGCGUCACUGCCUUAACUGAAGGAAUAACGGUAAAUUGACGGAAAAGACCACAAGUGUUGAAUUACUGAAACAUGAGGGACUAAAUGUAUUUUUUUUGAACAUGGAGGACCAAGUGUAUAAUCAGUUCAAACUUGAGGGGUUAAAAUUGUAAUUUUCCCAAUAUUAUAUAGACCUUCCGAAAUUAAAAAUUGAAUUUAAACUCAUUGAGUUAUAUUUUUAUUUGAAUUAAAAUACAUUUUUAAUUAUUAAAAAAAUGAACCAAUUAGUAUGAAGAGUUUGUUAAGGUAUGGUGAAAUGCAUGCAUGCGUGAAGAGGGCCGCUCCCACUAUCAUAUGACAAGGCCCGUACAAAUUACUGUCCAUUUACUACUAACUUUAAUUCAAAACCCAAAAGACAUUUAACCCCAUUUCCUAUGUCCAACUGUCAGAGUCAUCAAUAUUUAUGAGGUACAAAAAUCUUUUCUGAUUUGAGUUGUACCAUUUCAAAAUUGUGUAGAUUUGAGUUGUACCAUUUGUAAUUGAUCAAGAUUGCAAGAAAUUUUGAAAUUUUGGAUUUUGAAAAAGUAUGGAGUUAGGUAUGGUGUUGCCUACAAUCUUGAUCGCCUUUUUUACAAAUUAAUUAAAUAUAAGUCGGAUUUAUAUUAUUAUUUCCAUGAAAGAUGUCAACGAAACAAUGUAUAUAAAGGAACUCAAGUCAAUAGUUCAGUGAAGGUACCACUAAAGGGUCAAAGUCGGCCAUGUACAAAACGACAUUUUGAUACACGGUUGAUAGGGAGUUUCAGAGCAUUAUGGAUAAACGAGACAUAAAAGAGAAUGUAGGGUUCUAAACGAGAGAUAAGAGAGAUAAAUUAGAUAGUAUUUAUGUGAGAGAAAGAACGGAUAAGUUUACAUAACAUUGAUCAAACGGAUGAGAUCAGAUUACGAAUCCUUCCACUAACUUGGACUCGCAAAAAACACAAACGGGCUUCUCUAGUAGUGGCAUAAGUAAAUGGGCUUCACUGGCCCAUCAAUCCAAUGAGUAACUACAAAUUGUAUUUUCCCUGAUUUUUAAAAGCUAUGGGGGAAUAUGCCAAAAAAAUGAUUAUCCAUUUACACACCAUAUUAAGGAGAACAAAAGAACAAGAAAAUAAAAGGGUCUUUUUUAAAAGAAAAAUUAAAAUAUCUAAUUACGGAAAAAUCCACAAAAAAUAGGCUUAGUAUUGUUAACUCAUUGGACUGAAUUUUAAUUCAUAGCUACCCACUCCAAUUGCUUAUUCCGAAAAUUCUUCAUUCAAAACAUAUGGGCUGGGCCCAUUAUUCACAUCCAUUUACCCAAUUAUUAUUAUUAUUAUUAUUAUUAUUAUUAUUAUUAUUAUUAUUAUUAUUAUUAUUAUUAUUGGCAUUUGGCAACCAAAAAGGUAGCUUCACAUGUCUGUGUAUAUAGCAAGUCUUCUCAACUAGUAUGUGUAAUAGAAUAAUAAUAAAAAUAAAAUUUGCUCUAACUGUACAUGUCAGAGAUUUUUAUUCAGAACAAGUGUCAGAGAGCAGAUGCCAAAGUGGUCCCCACUCCUUUGUCGCUUUUCGUUUCCAUUGUUUUACUCCCAAACUCACACUCAUACACUAUUAUUUUGUAUAUAUAUAUAUUUAUUAUAUUUUCUCAGAAAAUAAAAUUAAAAAUAAAAGUAUAUAAUAGUAAAAAGAAAAUAUUGGUACGAAUUUUGGGAUUGAAGGGGCCGGUAGUAUUAUUUGUUACUAUUUGGUAGUAUUGAAAAGGAAAAAAAGGUUGUGGUGGACUGGUGGUGGUGGUGGUGGUGGUGGUAGCUGCAGCACGCCGGCACGCGACACGAUUAUCCGAUGUAAUCUCUCACGUGUCUUCAUGUGACUUAUUUGAUCGAGGUUUUUGUCUCAGUUUUAUUUUAUUUCUAUUUAUAUUUUCUCCUUCAUUAUUUUCAUUUUUUUGGUUAUAAAUAAAUAAAUUGAAAAGCAAAAAUAUCUGUAAUAAAAAAAUGAAUUGUCAAGUCAAGAAGAAAACGGUAGUUAGGUGGGUCAGAUGGACAGUCGGACCGAACCGAGUCAUCACUUAAUUUUGGAAAAGUAUUUGUCUAAAUCAGCCACCCACCUUCAUUUUCUGACACUCUAUCAGGUUUUUGGAUCCGCAUUCAUUCCCCUCUUCUCAAUUUACCAUAUUACCCCUCGGUGGAAUUUUUUUGACAAAUUAGUGGACCUUAUUUAUUGCAUUUAUUACCCCUUGUGAAAGUCACAAUUGUACAUUUGCCCUUCUCAUAAAAAAAAACUAGCAAAUACCUCCUUAUGCUUAUUUUUAGACGUCACAUUUGACCCAUUUAUCUUUUUUCCGUUGAUCAGUCGUGAAAAGACCAAGAUACAUAGUGGAUGUUUUUGCAAAAAUAAAAGCACAUUCUAUAAACUCAUAAGUUUUAAAACUAAGGGAUCAAAUUGAAUUUCUAAAAAGUUGUAUAUAUUGAAAGAGGUUAAAUUACAAUUUUCAAAACAAUAAUUAAAGAAAAGGGCAAAUUGCACUUCACCCUUUCAAAAAAAAAAAUGAGGCUGACCCCCUUUAAAAUAUACAACUCAGGGUACUUUGUCCGAAAUAUGUAUUUUUUGUCUAAUUCUCACAAAAUAUACAGACAUUACCAUUACAUUGUUGUAAAUACAGACAUCAUCUUAUAUACUAGUGAUUUACUAAAGAAGAGAAAUAAAAAGUAGAAGAAGAAAAAAACAUCUUAUCUAAUUAAAACACUUCCCAAGUAAUUAACUACCAGUUAAUUAUGAAACUAGAGGUAAUUAGCAGAAAAUUAGAGCAUAAAGCAAAUGGUGAAGAUUAAGUUGCGAUUAUGAUAUUGUCGUAACAUGUGGAGGCACACAAACCAUACUUUAUUUUACCCAAUGCACAUGAUUCUUCUUAUCUCUGAGAAUAACACCUAGAGGAAGAACCAAUUUCUUUUUUAAUUAAAUAAUUAUAUUUAUUUAAUUGACUGGACCAAUCUAGAAUAUAUUGGUAACUGUAAUAACAUAUUUAUAAAUAUAAUUAAUUAUAUAGUUAUCUUGGGAAAGUAGUGGCAGUAAUUAAGUUGGAGGGUGCCUGUCAAAACCAAUAUUCCAGUUUUAAAGAACCCUAAUUGCAUUGCAUGUGUCAACUUAUAAACAACACUUUUAUAUAUGCUCAUGUAUUUCUAUUAUAUAUUAUUAUUAUUUUAUAAGUGUAUAUAUAUAAAUAAAUAAAAUUGAAAAGGGUAAAGAGAAAUGAUUUUGUGAUGUAGUAAAAUGAAAGUGAGAAUAUCUUUUGUGAUCAGUUUGCAGCUGAUGAAAAAUGAAUAAUAGACAAUUUCUGUGGUUUUGGCUGAAAUGGAAUUUAGUAUUGUCAGCUCUUUUUUUCUUUUUUUCUCAUGAAUUAUUUUGACUUUUAGUGUACAUAUACAACAAGUAAAAUUUUAAUAUAUAUAAUAUAAUUGGUUCACUGGGGAAACCCUAGUUGGUAGCAGCUGCUUUAUUUAUAAUGUACUAUUCCCAAAGCUGCAGAAACACAGUCUUACCCCCCACACUUGGGCCUUUAUUAUUACUACUCUCUUUCUAUUUUAUUAUUUAUUAUUUUCCUUUUUUUAAAAAAAAAUAAUAUAUUUCUGAACUGUCUUGUCUGAGUGUCUUUCCUUUUAUCUUUCUCAAGUGCUCUGUGCUUAUCCCAGUCGUUAGUCACUGUUCCUAUGAAUUAAAUCAUACAUUAUUGCUAACGGUCGCUAGGUCGAGUUUGUCACACAUGGUUAGCCUAGUGUGGUUUACAUCUCUCGUAUGGUUUGCAAGCUAUUAUACGAGAGUGUAGGUUUACCCAGUGCACCUAUAUGGUUGGCUGCGGGUUCCUGCAUUACCAAAAAAAAAAAUUAAAAAAAAAAAAAAAAAUCAUACAUUAUUUCAAACAUUUUAUAUAUAUAUAUAUAAAAUAUAUAUGUAAUAAUAAAAGUGGUAAUUAAUAAGAAGUCAGUGUAAAAGACUUUUACCAACUGUGUCUUAACAUUGCUCAACACAAAGCAGAAACAGUUUCACAACACACUGCAACCAAGAAGCAUAACCACAGAAUACCAGGAGGCUCUGAUCCUUUGAUAUCUGCAACACUUAUUUUGCCCCCUAUGGACUUCAAUUUCAAGCAAUGGAGAAACCAUUCUGAACAACAAGAUGAUCAAGAAGACCUCCUACAUACAUCUUCUAAGCUACCUAAACUUCUCCUUAACUCCCACCCCCACCACCACCACCAGCCGCCGCCGCCUGCUUCUUCUUCUUCUUCUUCUGCACUGCCCUUAUUUGUUGUCACUGAGCCCAACACCAACUUGUCAGCAUCUUACUCUUCUGAUCAUAAUUCCACCACUACUACCAAAUUUCCCAGUAUAUAUCAUUAUAACCUCUCUCUCUCUCUCUCUCUCUCUCUCUGACACACUCACACACACACACACGCAAGCUAGCGUUUUUCCAGACAGUGUUUUUUACUUGCUUGGUUUUGUCAUUUGUUUUAUAGGGAUGGGGAGCAGCCAUUUCAGCUUGACACAGUGGCAAGAGCUUGAGCUUCAGGCACUGAUAUUCAGACAUAUGAUAGCCGGUGCUACUGUACCACCGGAGCUCCUCCAUCUUGUCAAGAAAAGUAUCAUCGUCAACUACCCACCUUCUUCUUACCACCACUAUUACCCCCAUUACCAGCCUGCCUGUAUGAUGUCAUAUAUUUUUUCUAAUUAAUUAAUUUUGAGAUGUGUUUGAUUUUGAUUUCAUUUCUUUUUUUAUGGUGGUGGAUGAUCAGUGCUGCAAUCUGGGUACUGGGGGAAAUCGGCGAUGGAUCCGGAGCCGGGCAGAUGCCGGCGCACCGACGGCAAGAAGUGGCGGUGCUCGAGGGACGUGGUGGCUGGCCACAAGUACUGCGAGCGCCACAUGCACCGUGGAAGAAACCGUUCAAGAAAGCCUGUGGAAAUCCCCACACCCAAAUCCAAUCAAGGAGCUGUGUCCGCCACCAGCACCGGCACCGGCGGCGGGUUCCCUCGUUUCACGCUCUCGGCGCCCUCCGAUCUUCUUCACCUCAACCAGAGGUAACUAAUUAGACAACACCACGUACCACAGCUAAAAAUUGGUUCUUUACACAUUAUCCAAUCACAACUGAUUAACCCACAAUUAGGGUUGUAUUAAUUAAAAUUAAAAGGGCAGGGGCAAAGUGUAAUUAAGCCUUGCUCCCCAAAAGGAAGAAAGUAACUAAAUCAUGAUCAAACUCCAAUCUAAUUGGUUUGAUAUGUUGAAACAACUUUUAUCAUUGUAUAAAAUGUUUGGAGGGGUCCUCUAAAUUCAAUUCACUGUGUCUGUGUCUGUGUCUGAAUUGGAGCGUAUAAUAUAUAGACCCACCAUUUGUCUUGGUGGUGGGCCCCCACCCCCGCUUCGAUAUUUUUUGAUUGUGCUCAAAUCUCAGAAUCAACCCCAACCAGCUGUUCUUGCUUCUCCCCCUAAUUAUUAAAGUUUUUAUUUUUUUUUCUUGCUCUAACUUUGGCAUUAAAAAGUGAUAUUUGUAGGCCUACAAACUCCAUUAUUGAGACAAAGGUCCACCUUCAACAAUCCCAAACCAAUAAUAAAACCCUUCGCCAUUUCUUCGACGACUGGCCGCCUAAACCACUCGGCCACGAGGAUGAUAACUCGAUGAUGACAUCAUCAUCGUCCACCAAGUUGUCUAUUUCGAUGCCCGAAAACCCGUCUUCGGAUUUCUCGUUGAAACUCGGCACCGGCGGCGAUGGUGGCGAGGCGGCAGGUGGCAAUCGUGUCAUUGUGGACGAGAAUAGUAGUAGUAGUAGUCGACUUAAUUGGGGGAUGAUGACGUGGCAGAAUAAUCCGGCCGCUCCUAUGGGCGGGCCCCUUGCCGAGGCGUUGAGGUCGUCGGUUUCGAACUCUUCGCCGACGAGCGUGCUGCAUCGGUUGCCACCUGGCGGUGCCUCCCAAUCUAGCUAUGUUUAGUUAGUUCCUAUAAAUGUUUUGCUUUUAUGAUCUAGCUUUUUGCAGUAUGUGAUUUCCCUUUCCUUAUCUGAACUUUUCUUUUAUUUUUAUUUUUACUAAUUUUUUUUCUUCAUUUCUUGCAAUCUUGUGAACUGUGAAAGUGUGACAGUGUGUAAAAUGUGGUGCUAUAAUUUUCAAUGAUGUUUUUUUUUUCUAUCUGAUGACAGCUGGCAGACAUGGCCGAUUCUCUAACAAGAACAAAAUAAUUAUUUUACCAGUAUUAGUUCCCUAACUAAAUAUGAAGAGCUAAAAAUCAGGACAAAAGCUUAUUCCUAAUUAUCUCCUCUGGAAAUUCAGAUACCUGAUUCCCAAAGCGAAGACUGUGCCAAAGAGGAGAAUGAAAACGAGAUGCAUGAUACCGAUAAUCGGAAGAAAAUGGUGUUCGAAACCUAGGUUUUCUUUAAGAUAAGACUUGACUGUCAUAAAACCAACACCAGGAACCUCCACUUGAGAAGUUAACUCACCGAUUUGAGACACCACCAUCCCGUAUAUCGUCCAUGCCACCGGUGUACCCCAGUAAUACCACCUCCACCAUAUCGGAAUUUGCUGCAACAAUCAAUCCAAAUAUAAUAUUUGUCACCUUCGUAAAUGGUGAUUAUGAUUAGGGGUGGAAAUGGGGCGGAUCGGAUCGGAAUUAGCAUUUUCAGAAGGAAAAAAAAUUUAGAUUUUUUUUUCAUAAAAUUCUAAAUUUUUGGUAACCUAAAAUAUAAAAUACAUAAUAAUUUUGAUAUUAAAAGUGUAAUUUUCCGGAAAAUGUUGGGAUUUUUGGAAUUAUUUUCAAAAAUUAAAAUCUGGUCCGAAAUUGGAAUCUGAUAAAUAUUCCAAAUCACAAUAAAAAAAAAUCGCAAAAAUAAAAAAAUCGAAAUUUUCUGAAUUCAAAAUACAAAAUAAUGUUACGAAAUGGGACAAUUUCUGAUUGGACUCAGCGUGAUCGGAAAUUCCGUUCCAAUUUUUUUCCCCUGAAUUGAUGAUUGAUGAUGUAAAGUGAGUUAGGUCAUGUUUGGCUGAAACAGAAACUUACCGUUCUAGGAAUGAGGAAACCCGAGAACAAGUUCCAUAAGCUGAGGAAGAAAGAUGCCAUGAUAGCGCCAACUUGGACACCGGGAGUUAGGGCAAUAAGCAUCAUACCGUACAAUGUGAGGUAAACGAAGCACGUGAAAAUGAAGUAGUAAAACCAAAGAAAUUUUCCAAUCCUCCAUUCAAAUCCAAUCAUUGAAUACAGAAUAAGUGCGUAAAUUACUGUCUGAGCUGCUAUGUAUAAUGUCUCUACCGCCACCUAUGCAGAAAGAUCCCAAAAAACAAAAAAACACGACGAAUAUGUUUACGAGAAUCAUUCCAACAUUUAAUCGAAGGAAAUUAAUAUGGGUACCUGAGAAAAUGCGUAAGGCAAAGCAGAGUACAUUCCAGCAGCUUUUUCACGAUAAAAAACCGUUCGCUCUAUCGCAACAACACCUUGUACAGAAGUACUAUUUGUGGCUCCGAGGAAUAUAACAGCAGCAUAAAUAGCUCCCAAAAGGUUUUGAAGAUCUUGUUGUUUUUCUCUGUUUUAUUAAUAGACAAAAAAUUUAGUCCGUCUCGAUUUCAUUUAAAAUAAAGAUAGGAAAUUUAGAAUCGAUCUUACAUCUUUUGUCCCUUGUUCCAGAAAAUGACACCGAAUAUAACACCAAUCGCAAUGGUGAUAAAGAAUCUAAUUGCGUUGUACUGUGGAUUCCUCCAAUAGGACCAAAACUGCUUCCAAAGACAAGCUUUACACUGGUUGAAAAAUGGUUGAGAAUAUUUCGUCGAGAAAUGGAGGUCGCUUGAACCUGGUGGAGGGGUGCUCAGUUCGUUUAUAAGUUCUUGAUUCCUCCUGAUGAUUUUUAUUUAAGACGAAUAUAAACUAUUAUUAUUCAUUAACAACAAAUAUGAACUCUAUUUUCAAGCUUCCUCUGUUUACGUACUGAUAAAGAGACGAGUUAGCGUAAAUAUCAGCAAAGUCAACCCCGAGUUGACUCUCAGCUGAUGGAGUGCUGACAUCCAGCAUCCAUGUAGCUGGAUUGUAACCAUGGUCAAUCUUGGGAACCCCAGGAAUAUCCUGGACACAUGAUAUAUAUAAAAAAUAAUAUAUUUAUUUAGUACAAAACAAACAUGUGUUUUUGAUGUCUAUAAAUAGACAAAGUUGAUAUAAAAAUAACUCACCUCGAAAUAUUCGACCAGUUUCUGAGACUGCCGGCCAAGUGGCCCCCCGUAAAUGACUCUCCCUCCUCUCUUCAUCAAUAGCAACUGCGGGCAAAGCUCGAUUAUUACAACUAACCAAAUUAGACCGUGAUUUAAUAGAAAGAGUAUUAACGACUUGAUUAAAGAUCCUUUACUUCGUCAAAAGCUUCGAAUAUAUCUAUGCUCGGUUGAUGAAUUGUACAGACCACGGUUCUGCCUGUAUCUACGGUACUUCUUACAGUACGCAUUACUAUAGCAGCAGCUCUUGCAUCAAGUCCAGAAGUUGGUUCGUCCAUGAAAAUAAUCGAUGGGUUAGCCACUAAUUCUACAGCAAUUGUUAGCCUCUUCCUCUGUUCAGUCGAAAGCCCAUCAAUUCCAGGUAGACCAACUAAUGAAUUUCUUAUCGGGUUCAGCUCAACUAAUUCCAUUACUUCUUCAACAAACAUCUUUUUAAAAAAAAGUUUAGAGGGUAAAAACGAAAAACAAGAAAAUGAAGUAGAAUGUAUAUGAUAGUGAUAUGAAUAAAUAGAUAGAUAACCUUUCUUGCGUCUUUCUUUACUUCUACCGAAAGGCGUAGCCAUGCAGAGUAAAGAACGGAUUCGUAAACUGUAACAUUAGGAGAAUGAAUAUCGUUUUGUUCACAGUAACCGCUUAUUCGAGCAAAUGUGUCCUGGUUUUUGGGAUAGCCUGAGAUGCUGAUGUGUCCUUCAAUGCUGCCACCUGUCUUUCUGCCAGCUAGGACAUCCAUUAAGGUUGUCUUUCCAGCCCCACUAACCCCGACGAGUGCUGUUAAUACUCCGGGCCUGAAUGCUCCGCUCACGUCUCGUAGUAGUUGGAGUUUAUCGCCUACAACUCCUGCUUUCAUUUCCUGUUUGAAAAAAAAUAAAAAAAUGUAACACCAAUAAAAAAUUUAGUCGUCUUGUUUAUAACUAUGAUUAUUGUAGAAAACGCGAAAGAAAAGAUGUACUUACUGCUGGCAUAUCCACGUAGUAGUUCAUGUGGUUGAAGACAAGUGACAGAGGCUGAAAUGGUAAUAGCAUUCCUUUUUUAGUUGUCUGAUUAUUACCAUCAUUGUCAUCGUUUAUUCCAGUCGUUUUUUUGUCGUCACCAUUGUCCAAUAUUAAAGUGUUUGAAUCACCCAAAGCUGAGAAUAGAUCAGCCUUUAUAUUCAGACAGAGAUCCCCGAGCUCAAUUUUUCGAAUUUAAUAACGAAAUACAAACUUACGUUUCAAGAAAGUGAGCGCUGCGAUAAAUAAAAUGUUGAAGACAAUUGAAAAUCCUAUGAGUGCACAAACACAAAUCCAGAACAUAUAGUCUUCUGUGUAGAAGCCCCUCGAUUGGAGGAGGACUUUCCCCACCGUUGGUUCAUUAAAUCGAGGAUCUGUAUUAGGCUGCACCGAAUAACAAAUACGGACUUUCAGAAAAAGUGAAAAUUCAUGAUUUAUUGGAUAAAUGAGAAACUUACAGCGCUCCAUCUCUUAUCAAGAAACUCAUUCAUGACAAUAGCAUUUUGACCGUAACUCAUCGGAGAAAUAUAAUAGGCCCAUUUCAACCAUGGCGCCAAGUCAUCUGCCAUCAAGAAAAGGGCAUGAAUAUAUCACCUUCAAAUAUAUAAAAAAAUAAUAAUAAUUAAGAAAUAAAAAAUCUAAAAUCUUACCUUUGGCAACUAUAAAACCACCAAGAACAAAAACCACAAGCAAAGUAAAAGUCCCUAAUGUGGUAGCAACAACCUGAGUUCUUCCAACUGCAGCAAGAAAUCGAAAAAGACCAAGAGCCAUCUGAUGUAUGCUAAAGAAUGCCAAGAACUGUCGGAAGAAUCUAGAACAUUUCCAUUCAAUUUUUUUUUAUAAUAAAAAUCAGUACAUUCCUAUGUCGAAAACUCAAAUUGCAAGAAGAAAACAUUUUUCGAUAUUUAGUUAUUUACCGUCCAGCAGCUGGGGCAAACCCGAUCGUGUAGUACGUGAGAACAAUCCAUAUAGUCGAUUCCAAUAUAGAUAGUGGGAUUCUCAGUAUCCAAAUAGGCAAACCAAAAGCCCAAGCAGGAUAAAACAAGAAAUCCCUCUGUUUAUAAAACACCGGCAAUCUAAAAACCGUCAUCGCAAGUUCAGCCAUCCCAUUAAACAUCACAUUUAUCAAACUGAAAAAAAGGGCGCCAAAAUAUUUCCCACCAUCAGUCAAUUCUCCAUAAGGCAUCUCUGUUCUGAAAAACACAGUAAAAGCAAUAACAGCCAUGAUAGUGAUCUGCGAGGUCUUGAAAAUGUAAACGAACGAGUUUCGUUUCAUAAGCAGCCAUUCACGAGAGAAGCAAGCUCGAAAAAGCUCCCAAUUCGAUAUCCCGUAUUUCUCUUUCACCAGAGCUGCUUUGUGGGCUUUGGAUUUAUCGUAACAAACACUGACUUCUUCGGCGAGCUUUUGUCCUAUGUGGAAAGAGUCGAAUGCUUCGGCGAAUUCUGAAACGGAGAUGUAUCUAUAUUGUAUGUCUUUGUUGUACCAGUACUGUUGCUGAUCCUUUCUUGACGUCACUUCUUGAAGAAAAUCUGCAACCCCUUUUCGAUCGGGGCAUUUGAACCCCGUUCGCUCGAAGAAUUCUAGAAUGUUCUCUUUCGGGCCUUGGUACACGAUUUGACCUUCCGAUAAUAAGAUGACAUCAUCGAAAAGGUUGUAUGUCUCCGGUGCUGGUUGGAGAAGAGAGAUAAUCAUUGUUACAUCCAUUACGUGGACCAUUUGUUUCAUGUAUUUCACGAUUUGGAAAGUGGUGGAACUGUCUAAACCCGUCGAGAUUUCGUCCAUGAAUAGAGCUUUUGCUGGCCCCACCAGCAUUUCCCCUGUAAUUACACAAAUAUAUAUUAAUCACAAAAAAAUAAUUUGUUUUUUUUUUUUGAUGAAAUAGAUACACUCAAAACGUGCAUAUAUAUAUUAUACCGGUGGUAACACGUUUCUUUUGUCCACCGGAAAUACCCCUUCUCAUAUCAUCACCAACCAUAGUAUCUGAGCAUAUGUCUAAACCAAGAACCUGUCAUUAAGUUCAUAAAUAAUUAAGGAGCAGCACACCAGAAUUUUUUUAAGGAAAAAAAUAGCAAUGUAAUAAUAAGACAAACCUUGAGAACAUAAUCUGUGACGAAACUCGUUUUUUGUCCUGAUAUUGACGUAGCUUUCAUGAAUGCAUCAAUUUCAGGAUCAGGGUUUAUCCCGGCUGUUUUUUCACGCCUCGAUAAUUCUGCCAGCAUGUCAUACCGUGAGCCCACGCCUAGACAACGGCCGGAGAAAUCGAGAGUCUCCCUCACAGUCAUCUCCCCGUGGUGAAGAUCGUGUUGACUUAUAUAAGCACAUGUUCUUUGAGGAACAAACUCACUAAACUCAUGCCCACAGUAAGUGAUUUUCCCUGAUUGCUGCAAUGAACUUGUUAUUAAACUAUAUGAAGAACAACUAGAAAUCGAAACAUAAAACAAAACAAAAACGGAAAACAAACCCUUAAAUUAUGAUCAAGCUUUCCAGCGAGUGAGAGUAGAAACGUCGUUUUUCCUGCACCGGGAGGACCCAAAAGCAGGGUGAUCCUAAUAGAUUUUGGUGUUCAUUGCAAAAUUAAUAUGGAAUUAAAUAUAUUAUUUUUUUUUAAAUCGGAGAAAUUGUUUAUACCUGGAUGGUUUGACAAUUCCAUUGGCAUCUUUGAGUAUCUGUAUCUUUCUCUUCUUGGAAGGGGCAAGCCGAAUUAGUGCUAGGAAGCUCUAUCAUUAUCCAACAAAAUUACAGAACCAGAAUCAGCAAAUUAAGAAGAUUUAUAUAUUGAUUACAUGAUAUUAACAAAAAUAAUUAAAUAUACCUCAAUUGAAUUAAUUGUGGCAUUAAUCAAAGUGGGCAGUGCUCUACUUCCCACAUGCACAUCUCCUUCCACUGCUAAAUGCUCGUACCUUAUUUCGAUUUUCGGCGUUUCAAUCCCCACUCUGCAAUUAAACCACAUUUUAUCAUGAAUUUUCACACACAGUAGCACACACACUGUGUUUUUUUUUUCUCUGGAGCAAUUCAUCGAUCACCUUUCGGCGCGGCUCCUAAUACUUCGUAGAAAGCUCUCGUUGUCCUGUUCGACGGCGUUAAGAAUAGUGUUCUUCAAAAGCCUCUUUUCGUCAACCCCAAGUUUUUUAACGUUAAUUUCAGUGGUUUUGACGGACCCAUCUUCGAGAACCUGAGUCAGCAUGCUCCUUCUCAACCGAUCGUAUGUGGGGAGCCGCUCAAUGGCGGCCCACCGCAGCUCCUCCUCGUCAUCCUCCUCUCUGCCGCCGCGGCUGAACACAUCCGCCGUCUGAUUCUGCUGCUGCUGCUGCCACAGAUCAUUUAAACUCCGGCGGCCACUCGCUGGUCUCGCCAGAUCAUCACCGCCCGAGGCCAUCGCCAAAACAGAGGCGAGAAAUAAUAUUUGAUCAUAGAUCGAUCAAGAAAUUGGUCUCUGUUUUUUUGCUGCGAUUAAGGCAGCUGAUAAUUUUUUGCAUGGGUGGCCACUAAAAUCUUUCCUAGACGAUGAUUGAAUGAGCGGCGGAGAUCUCAUGGAAGCUUCCACAUUCAUGCAACUAUACUUGCGAGUCUCUCUUGUAGUUUGUACUCAUUUUUUUGGGAAAUAUACUAUUUAUGACGCACCACAAGUUAAUAUUUACGAGGCAAGAGACAUAUCUUAUGAUUAUUUUGUUUCAAAAUAUGAAGCUCGAAUAGGGGUAAAAUGGAUAUUAACACCACAAGGAUGGACUGUAACAAGUUUCAUAGUUAAGGGUGAUUGUAAUUACGUACAUGAUGAUUCUUUUUGCAAUCCGAUAUGUUGCUAUUCCCGGGACAUUUGUUUGUAUGGUGCAACUCUCAUUUAGCAUUGGUGUAUGUGAUUAUGACAUUGGUAUAUGUGAAUAUAUACAAAUACGGAUAAAAAACAUCGGACGUAAAUAACCCGGUGUAGCAUAAAAUUUUCCUAAGAAGACCAAUUUUUUUUUUAACAUUGAUCUGUAUGAGGGUGAUGAAUUCAAAGUUUAUUUAUAUCUACCAAUUUAGAAUUUGGAACACUGGCAUCCAUCUUCCGGAUUUUUCAGUAUUUGAAAUACAGCGAACUAAGCGUAACGAUCAACACUUUCCAAUACUAAAUGGAAAAAUAACAAAAAAUUACCAAUUAUGUCUUAAUAGUAACAUGAAAUAGUUGUAAUAUCAUUGUUACACAUCAAGCAAGAGGCUAAUUUCAUUACAUUGCCAUUCCAAACGAAGAGAGUGCGAGAUAACGGAAGGUCACUGUCAUCAAGUUUUUAGCUUAGCACGAGUUGUCUUACCAAAUACUAGUCUAGAAAACGAGAAAGGUCAUACCCUUCUCGUAUUGUGGAUUGCAAAGACUCUUCUCGAAUUAGUUCACAAGUGUUUUAUAGAUACAAUCCCUUAAUCUCCGCUUGCACAACCCCCACAGCCACAGUGCACACAUUCUAUAACCUUCUCCUCUCGCAGAUGCUUUGGCACUCGGCAAACACAAGUCGUCUGAAAGUUAUGGUCCCUUGGCUGAAUGCACCUCAGACAGCACAGCCUUUCAUAACCAGGCUGCAUCAAUUCAAACACACAAACAUGAGAAAACUACAAACACAAAUGUUUCAACAAAUAAAACUCGAUACAAGUAAUAAUGUAUGAUUACAGAAAACGGUUACUUCUUUUAUGUUACUUCCCAAACAAGGGUUUUCGAGUAUCGAUUACAUUAUUCAAUCUGUCAUAAACACCAAGAGACACAAAACAUGAUUGAACGCGUAUUAUGGACAAACCUUUUUCCACUUUGCAAUUAAAUUACGAUCCGCAUAGCCCUGGUCCAAGCAGAACUCGUAUAACUCCCUGGAAAUCUCAUGCCUCCUGUGGUAAAGGUCAAAAACAUAUCGACUCUGCUGAUGGGCUAUUUUGAAAAUAGGCCACAAGGCCUCGCAUUUUCUUUGUCCAUCGUGUGGGUCAUUCUCAGCUGCCACCCAAAAAAUAAAACAAAAUCCGUACAUAAUCAAAACCAAAAACACAAUAAAAGAAAGAAAUCAAAGCGGUUCCUAUUUUCUUCUAGACGUAGAAACUGAAAGGACGAUAAACAACAGGACGUAAAGAAGCGAGAAAGAUGUUCUUUAUGAGAAUUUCACAAACCUUCUCUCAUUUUUGCUUGAAGUUCACGUAGGGUGGGUUCGAUCAAUUCCCAUCCCUCUGGGUACUUUACCCUAUUAGUCUUCACCUUCGGCAUGGUUUUCUAUACAAUAUACAUGGAAAUACAGUAUGAGAAAUCAUGCUAAAAAAAAUCAUAAAUGACAAUAUCUGCACUGUAAGUAUACCAUGGACGCAUAAAAAUCGUGACCUAAAUCAGAAAGUAAAUAUUCGAGGGAAAUUCAUACUGAUGAACUUUACUUAAAAAUUUCACAUAUCCCGUUUCAUCAGUUCAGUUAAAAUUUUAAACAAGGUUUAGGAAAAUCUUCUGUAAACGAAUUCAGGACAUGGAAGAAAUUAUUAAACAAAAAAACAAAAUCUGAAGGACAUAAUUGGAUGAGAAGGGAUAAAUUGAUACCAAAAUACCCUAGGGCAAAAUUCAUUACACUGUCUAACCACCGUUCCAGCCAAAAAAAAAAAGAAAAAAAAAAAACCACAAAUAACAAAACCCUAAUUCAUAAAUCGACAAAAAGUAAACACAGCAAAGGAUCAAUAGACAGUAGCGCGUGAUAAUUAGAUAAGGGCAGAGGUAAAUUACCAGAUGAAUUAGAGUUGGGCGACGGCGUCGGUCAAGAGAGGCGGGAGGCAACGGCGGAGUAGAGGAGGAUCGAAGUAAUCAACACUUCGAAUAUUUAUUUACACAGGCAGAUAAAAGUUGCGUUCUUUCCGUAAAACUACAAAUAAGAGUAAAGGCGCGCGUGCAGUUUCUCGGUGCGGAAGCCUAUUUUAUGACGCGCUUCUUACCCUUUUUUUUGUCGGCUAGUAGUUAUUACUUAUUACCAUGAUUUUUUAUUUUUAUUUUUAUUUAUUUAUUUUAUUUUCUUUAUUAGCAUGAUUUCAAAUAUACAAUAAUUAUUAAUUGAUAUUUCGUAGCAGAACCAAAUUCGAAGGGGCAGUUUUUUUUCUACUGCUGUUUUUGAAAUUAGUAAACAAAAUGGGGUCGUUUUGAAGAGUGUAACCAAAGUAAGGUUCGUCGCCACGUGGUCUGGCGACUCCAAUUAGUGCCGCCACGUGGCGUGGCGACUCCAAUUAUUUCUGCCACGCCGGAUGGCGACUCCAACAACAAUCUCUUUUUUUUUUUUUUUUUUUUUUUAAUUCGUUUUUUGCAAAUUUUUUUUGUAUUGUUAGAAAAAACAUUAAAAAAAAUGUAAAAAAUGUAUUUAUGAGCAUUUAAAAUUCUCAAUUAUCUAAUUCACGCAAUACAAGAAUACAUAAACAAUAAAUAAAAGAAGUUUUACCAAAUAAAAUAGUCAUACAAAAUAAAUAUUAACAACACAAUAAAAAAAAGUUCUACAAAAUAAAAGGUCAUAAAAAGUCACUGCCUAUGUCCACCAGUCCCACAUGCAGGUGGUCGUCUAGUCCUCCGCUGCCUACCAUCUCGACGAACGUCACGCUCUACUGGUACGUCAUCAACAAACUCGGUGUCGUCCGCUGGAUAUGGAACAGGAGAAACAUUAUACUGUGGUCGAGCCCGCUCUUGGGGAUUUGAGUAUCCCAAGUUAAGCUCCAAAUGUGGACUCCAUGAAGUGAACUGAGUAUCAAUAGCAGGAGGAUAUGGGGUAGCUAGAGAAUUGGACCAUGGCAUAUCUGGAACAUAAUCAGUCGUAGAUGGACCAAAUAGAUCUCUAUAUGUAGGUACCUGAGAUGUAGACGCACCGAACAUAUCCAUAAAUCCAUGUGUACCAGAUAAAUCAUCCAUACCUCCAUGCAUAGGAACAUGUCCAUAAAAAGGGGUAUGUGAAGCCAAUGGACCGACAACAUCUUCAGCAGGAGGUACCCGAGACGUAGAUGCAUAAUAGUUCCCCUCUCUCGUCUGUCUCACGUCAUCCUCCAAUUCGGCAGUGCCAGAGCGUCUUCUGGUACGUCUACCUUGUGUCUGAGAAGGUAUAGGAGGAAUAGGAGGUAUGUUGGAAGAAUCAGUAUCUCUACGCAAAAGUUGAGUCCCAGCUGCAUACAUCCGUGUAGCAUUGUCCUGAUACCGAUCAUAAAUCCGAUCGUCAUCUCGAGACACAGCCCUAGCAGCAAGACUCGUGAAUAUAAGCUGAUUACCCUGAAAUAAAAGACAUUACAUGUUUAAGAACUUAAAAACUUAAAAAAAAAUUGAAAAACAUCGAAAGUAAUGGUUAUUUUGAAAAAGAUAUUGACCACUAGAUCCAGUAAAAUCGGGUCUCCGAUCUGAAAACCAAUAUCAUCAAGAUUGUCAACCGGCGAUAUCAAACGACGCGUGUGCCUGUCAUACCAAUCGUAGUAUCCUGGGUCCGUCUGAGGUCCACUAAUCUCAAUAAAUGGAUAGUCAGUGAAAGAAUCGAGUCGAGCAUGCCAUCUAUCAACAUAGAUAUUGUGAAAAAUAGUCCAAUCUCUCCCCACAGCACCUCGACGAUCAUAAGAAUGCAACUUUAUCUCAAUAUCGUGAUCAGUAGGAUGUGGAGGAAUAUGCUGUAUCCUCCCAAACUGGCGCAGUACCCUAAGCAAACCGCAAUUAGCAACUUGUGUUUGUACUUAGUGUAGAGAUGAGUUCCAUCCACACUAAUAACUCUACGACAAAAUUUGAAUCCAUCCAAACAUGGCUUGAAGGCCCAAAAGAAGUAUCUGAUCAUCUUUCGUGUUGGAAUGUCUGUUGGUUUCAAUACAAACUCGAUUGCCGUAUCCGGGUUCGUUCUAUGGAGUGCCUUCAUAAACUUGGGCAAUUUGUUCAUUGAGGACUCCCAAGUCCCGAAUAAGUUCUCUCUGCAACGUUUCAAACCAUACCAAGCUUGCAUCCUUGAAAGUUGAAAUCCCAAUUGAGACCUAACCGUAUUCUGUACUUGGGUUAUUUUACAAGCUGGAUCAUCUCGAACAGAUUGAACCAUUAGUGUGGCAAUGUAAUUCCUGUCCAAAUUUCUGUGUUGGUUCGACAUUUCAUCCAUUAUGCAAUUGUGGGGUCCACUAUAUCUCGUAAUCAUAAAGAAAUCUUUGCCAGAUUUCUCAAUACCCCGCAACGACCAUCUGCAAGGCCUUUCAGUUGUGCUAUGCUUGCACUUGACACUCCAUAUCUUCUUAUUACUUUCGACAACUAUAAAUUCCCGUUUGGCAAACCGAAUCGAAUGGUCUCUCACCGCAGCACAAAGACGUUUUUUGUCCUCAAACACCAUCCCAACUUCAAGAAUACCUCGAUCGCUGUCGUAAAACCUAUCAUAUCGGCCCCUUCCAACAUCUACAGAAUCUGCCGCGACUUCUGGAAAUGACAUCGAGAAAAAUGGAAUUGACUCAUACAACGUUGGUUGUUCCCCCGCUUCUGCCCCUAUCCCUUCGUUGUGCUGCAACAACGUCUCUUGGACAUCAUGCACAUCUACAUCUUCUUCGUCAUCAGUUUCAUUAUCGGAUGGUUCCGAAUUCACGGGACUGUUCGGCCCAAGGGAGUCUCCUAUUGGGUCAUCAUCUUCGAAAAUGUUCGGUCCCGUCCCACUCGACUCACCAACAAAUCUCCCUAAAUUACCAUAGUUAAUUGUAUAGGGAUCUAUGUGGACCUCUCUCGCUCCACUAGGCUCACAAUAGUUUUCGAACCCUAAGUUGGGGAUACAUUGUGUCGCCGCCAGAAUAUCGGGGGUCACUUGUGGUUGUGAGUUGUUUGAUUCAUUCAAAUCAAAUGCUUCUACACUCACUUGUGGUGGGGCACUAUCAAAGUAUCUCGGUUCAACCUCAACAAAUACUUCGAUUGAGUCGUUCCCUUCGUCUGGAUCGAUAUACAAUUGUAAAUCGUCAUCCGUUGUCAUUUCAGUGAUCAUCUCCUUCGUUCUUCCUCCAUUUAAAAUGUAGGAUUUGCAACACACUCUUAGACCAAACUGAUUAAUAUCGACCUCUAAACGUUGAUACAACUUCGACAAAAAUUGAGCAAAGGACAUGUCACGUUUAAUUCGAAAUAUAGUUUUGUGGGCAAUACUAUAUCUCGCUACCCAAUCGUCGGGAAUUAUGUAACCUCCAAAGUACACGUACACUUUAACAUUAUUUCUAGCCGCCAUCAAUCUUCAAAAGAUUAAGGAAAUAAUUAUUAAUUAUUGAUUUUUUAAUUUUAUUUUAUUUAAUAGAACUACAAAUCGAAUAUACAAAUUAGACAUUAACCAUAAAAUUAAGCACUAUAAAAUCACACGUGAUAUGCAAUGUUUAAGUAUUUAAUAAUGGUUCAUGAGUAAUAACGAAAUUUAUGUUUUAAGUUUUUAGUGUAAGAAACUUUUUAGUGUAAUAUAUGCAUAAUUCUUCUGACUGUGACAAAUUUGGUCACGAAUAAAUAAAUUUAUUCAAUGUUGCAAUGGAAUCCUAACUUUUAAAUACAUUUGAGUCAUAGUCAACUAUGCUACUAACUCUAUCCUUAAUGCAAGUGUUGAUGAUGGGUUUUUAAUUUUUAAUUAGUCAAAGAUUGUUAGUUUUUAUUUAUUUUUAAGUUAACACAUGCUAUAAAAUAAUUUAUAAUUAAACAUACAUGCUAUAAUUAUACAAUUAUGAAUUAAUUCAACACCCAUGUUGUAAUUAAAAAUUAAUUAUAUAAACAUGCUAUAAUUAAAUAAUUAAUUAAACACACAUUCUAUAAUUAAACAAUUAAUUAAACCCACAUGCUAUAAUUAAAUAAUUAAUUAAAUACAUAUAUUAUAAUUAAACAAAUAAUUAAACAUAGAUGCUAUAGUUAAAUCAAUAUUUAAACACAAAGUUAAUUAUUUAAUUAAUAAACAUAAAGAAUAAUUAAAUAAAUUAUAACCUUAUAGAUGGACCGGACGACGACGGCGGCGGCGGCUGUAGGGUGGGGCGGCGGCGAGUUGGUCGGACGGCGGUAAACUGACCUCCGACGAGUUGCCGGACAAUGGUGGGCUGUUUUUGUUUUUUGUUUUUUUUUGUGAGUUUUUUUUUUUGUUCAAAAUGAGGCAAUGAACGGGAGAGAGAGGGGAGAGAGAAGAGGGAGGGGAGAGAGGAGGGUGAGAGAGGGCAGCUGACAAUAAUUGAGGAGAGAGAGGGGUGGGGUAGCUGGGUAAUAAAUGAGGAGAGAGAGUCGAAUUGCCCCAGCCGUUGGAUCCGUUAUAUCAAUCUCAACCGCACAAAUAUUUCAUUAAAAUAAAACAAAAACAUUAAUUCAAAUUCGAGUUAAAAAAAUAAUUAAUUAAUCACCGGCUAAACCGAGUCGCCACGGCACGUGGCAGAAACACUUGGAGUCGCCACGCCACGCGGCGGCACUAAUUGGAGUCGCCAGACCACGUGGCGAAAAACCCUACUUUGUUUACACUAUCCAAAACGACCCCAUUUUAUUUACGAAUUUAAAAAACUGCAUUAGAAGAAAAAAAAACGCCCCCAAAUUCGAACAACUUUUCCAGUUAGAUAAAAUAUAGAGCUUCACUAAAACAGUGUUUGAUUAUUAUUAUUACAAUAAUAACAAGAUAUAACUAUAAAGUUUAAACUUAAUUCAUACUCAACUUGGUUCAAAGUCGUCCGAGUUUCAAAUUCGAUCAGAAAAUUAAACAAUAAUGCGUUUGACUCGACUUGUUUGUAUUCGGAUUAAAUAAAUAAAAAAAUCUAUACUCUUUCCUUCACAACUGUUGUAACAAGUUUAUUACUGUUCCACACCAUGACCAAGGUCUCUUUAUGAACUGGGGUUCUGUGAGCCUCAACGUGGUGAAAGUCUAGAGUAUUCUUUCGAAGCUUACAUCUCGCGAUCUUUACAAUACUUAGGAAACAUCUGUCAAGUAACUGAAAAAAGCAUUUCAUAUAUCAGUAAAAGAUAUAAUUUAUUACUCUACAACGGAACACGAUACCAAAAAUCACCGGUAACCUUUUACUUGAGGUGGAGAUAGAUAUACAUUAUGGAAGCAAUUCAGCAUUUGAUUGAUUUUAGACUUACAGUUGGAACGUCAAAAUCAGCUUCUCUUGAAUCACAUAUAUCGAGUGAGAUUUUUCGGAGCAUUGGCAACUGCAUUAGUCAUAAGAAAUAAUGAAUGGAAAAUGUUAGUCCGACCAGUACAUCUUAACCACGAUUAUUACCCCAAAUAAAGAGGUUCCUUAUAUGCAGCGAUACUUACCUUGGAAGUAGCAUAAGUGAUGAAGUUUCUCGGAAUCCCGGGUCCCUGUUCAUAAAGAUGAAAGUUGUAAAAAGACGAACAACAAAGGAAUUUUGAGUGUUGCAAGAGAAAGGCAAGUGUUGCACUAACGGUGUGACGUAGUACGAGAUCUUCAAGGGCAUGACAGUCCAAAAGAGAUCUUACACCAUUUGCAGUUAUUUUUCCACAUUCCUGUAAAACAAAUAACAAUGUGCUGAGAAAGCGAAAUUACUGAGGCAUCUCGUAAGUCUUUUUUUUUUUUAAUAAAUAAAUUCAAAUCAUGUUACAAAUUGGGGAAGCAGGGACCAGCAAAAAUAGAGCUACAUACAAGGAAGUCCGCAAUUGCUGCCCCCUAACUGCUCAGACUAGAAAAUAAACUAUUUUUAACUGUUUUCUUAUUUAAUGUCUGAUCAUGACCUCAUCUUUUCAAAUCUCCACUGAUUAGGCAAGACUUCUGUGAGUGGGUUAUUGUUAAGGGUAUUCUAGUAACUGGUCCCAAAAGAAACUUUUGAAGUACUCAUCGUGAUUUCAGUGCAAGGGUCCUAUCUCUAAUUAAAAAAAAUUAAUUUUUUAACUCGUCUUCAAACAAGCCCAAAAACAAAUUAGGAAAGAAGAGAUCCAAGUUUGCCUCUUAGCUAUGAGUCUUCAAUAGAGAUUCAUUACUCACUUCUCUUCUUUUUGCUUAGCUCUUAUUCUCUUCUUACUUCAAAAAUUUACUCCGUGCCAAGAGAAAGAUUCACAUAUUCAGAAUAACAUAAGAAAUUUAGAGAGCAGAAGAUAGCAAACCUCAAGAUGAAGAGAUGUCAACCCUGGCCAACCACUUGAAAUUAUAGCUUGUGCUUCUACAAAAGAUACAAAAAGCAAUAAAAAUGAGUUUUAAUUAUCUUUUACGCUUGCAUUAAAUAUAAUUUUUGGCUUUAUCAAUCACUAAUAUAUUUAGUUAGUAUGAACUUACUAUGAAUUCAUGAGACACAAGACACUCACCAGAAUCAAGCAAGGUGCAUCCUAUUAAUGAAAGCUUAACCAAAUUUUCACAAUUCUCAGCAAGAGUAGCCAAUUCUCCAUUAGUCAUCCAUGGAGUUACUCUUUCAAGUUUCAAGUUCCUCAAAUUUGGCAUCCUGAACUUAAAGCUUAAUGGGGAUAUGUCACCGAGGCAAUAGCAUAGGGCUAAUGAUUGCAAAUGUGGCAAGGUAUUUAUUAUGUCAGUUAUAGCCGAAUCCGAUAUCACCUGUGAGCAUAUAUUUAUUAUGUCAGUUAAGUGAACACAUAUUACACACCAACAUCCAUUAGCAUGCAGCAGUCAUUACAACGGAGAACAUUCAUACUAAAGGACCAUUGCUAAGUCGAGAUAAAUUUCCCUGAUUAGGCAUAUCAAGGAUAUUCGACAUUAUAGAGUUUUGAAAACACGUAGGCAUUUUAAUAGAUAACCUAUACCAAAUAAUAUUUUUUUCUGCUCUCAAAAUUACGAUUCUAAGAAAAAUAGGCGAGAAGAGCGAUCCGACUCGAUUUGCCAGCCAAAAACAUCACAUCGUUCCUUCAAUCAUUCUAUCUGUACAACUUGCAGUGAUGCUUAGUUAAAAGAUAUUAAAGUAAAGCUCUCAACAUUUUAAGCACAUCUGUUCUGCAUAUUAUAACUAUACAAUUGUGACCAACCGCGGUAGAAAUUCUUCAGGUGGAUAAAUAUAAUUACAACAUAAAUAUGAUGUUAUAGUAAAUCUACGGUACCUGAAAAAAAAGAAUCAGUGUCUCAAGCAGUGGACAGAUAGCGGGUAACAGCUUCAAGCCAUCAGGGCCUAAGGAUCCACCUAAACCAACAAGUAAUGUUCUUAAUGUUCUCAUUGCUGGUUUAAGGGCUUCAAGAGAGAAAAAGGAAAAUCCCCAUCCAAGUUCAAUCUCCUCCAACUUGCAGGACUUGCCUAGCUCAUAGUAUAUUUCUUCUGGAGUAUACAAUGGAUUAAACAGUUUUCUUUCCUUAGUUUCAGAUUCCUGACGUAACAGAUGUAUACAGCCUCUUGUUUUCAGAGAUUUCAAAUCAGGAUUUCUACGAAUGAUACGAGAUAAAGCAGCAAAGGAAACCUGAAAUUUCAGAAGCAUGUAUUUUUUUGUAUGGCUGCAUUUACUCGGGCUUGGUAUUGCGACUAGUAAAAUAGAUAGCAACUCAAGAUAACUCAUUUCUUGAAGAUUCGUGAAAGAAAAAAAAAAGCAUCAUUCGUACCUCAGUGUUAGAAACAUCAAGCAUCUCCAAGGAGACCCCUGAAAACCUAUAAAGAGCAUCAUCCACAAGUUUAAGAUCUCUUACACAUAGACUCUUCAAACUAUCUGCUCUAGACAUAAGCUCAGACAAAAUCUUCCCAGUUAUUCCUGCCAAAGGAGUUAGUAGAAUUAAUAACAUUUAUUCCUGACAGAAAAUUUACAUAUAUUUUCGGCCAAAAAUUAGUGGAAGUAAGACAGUGGGAGGGAAAAGUAAACAGUAUAUACCAUGGCAUCCACCAACGUGCAAGGUUAGAAGUUUGAAAACCAUCAACUGCGAGUUAUUUUCACUUUGUUCUGUUUCAGUUGAAAUACCAGAGGAAAACGCCACAACAGAACCAUUUCCAAAAGAGGUAUCACACGCCAAAAUUGAUUUGAGUCUUUUGCAUAUUAGAAUCAUUUUUGAUAUACCAUGGUCUGUGACUGAUGUACACCCUUUAAUGUUAACAUAACUCAAAGAACGGCAGACCUCUGAGAUGAUACAAAGAUCAGAAUCUGUAACAAAUCAAAUUAAUAAUUUAAUUUUGACAGGCUUAGCAAAAACAAACUCUACCUAAUACAAAUACUAAACAACUACAAGUCAGAAUAUCAAUCACAUCCAGAGCAAUAAGGCUGCAAGAUAACUGUACGAAUGAUAAGAUAUUAGGUUAUUAUGGUUGAAGUUGGUUUACUACCCAUGCUGCAUCAUGGUACCCACACAACCCUAGCCUCAUUUUUUCAAAAAGGCUUGAACCUGGAAUUAAUCCCGAGAAAUCCAAGAUCAUAGAUACAUGUCUACAACCUUGAUGGAAGACUGAAAACAUGAGAAAUAUAGACCGACUUCUAGCCUCACCACCCUAGUAUAUUGAGCUUCAUGUUAAUAGAAUGAAGAGAACUGCUAAAUACCACUAUUCACUAGUCUAAAGUCUGAAAUUCUAGUAAUCACACGCCUUGAGCCCUUGGCCCUCACAUAUAUCUUCAUAAGCUCUCGGACCUUGCAUGAGUUCUCCACGUAUUUCUCGUAGUUAAUAAAAAAUUUCAAGCUUUUCUAUGGAGCAUUUGGGGUUUGGGGGGAGCGGGGGAGAAUCUUACCUCUUAAAUCAGUUCGGCCCUCCAAAGUGAGUCUUAUGAUAUUUGAUACCAAGGGCUUGGAUGUAUAAAACAAUGAUGCUGUCGAACUUUCUGGUAUUAGAACCGAUGAAGAUACCGCAAUAGAUACUUGUGCAGGUAUAACAGGUUUAAUAUCCAAACUCAAGUCAAUAUUGGCAAGUAGAGGCAAUUUUUGCACCAACUGGCGCAACUUUCUUAUCUUGAAGUUUAAGUAAUAAGCUGCCCUUAAUGUUCUUAGAGAUGGAAAUAACUUGCAGAAACAAUCAAUUGCUGACUCCAGGGAAAGAGAUGGGCAAUUUGAAAUAUCCAACUCCUGCACUGCUUCAAAACUCAAAUUCUGAUACACUGCAUCCGAGAUCUGGAAACUACUUUCUCCAAUGUUUCCAUUAUUCAUGGAAGCCUUCUUAAUGAUCUUUCUCAGCAUUGAAUCAGUUUCACAUGAUGGAAGCACAGAAAGAAGAAAUACUCCUGCCGUAAUUUGUGGGCAACUAGAAACAUCGAUUUUCUGCGCAAUACAAUUGAGAAAGUGAUUAUUUAACUAAAGGAAAAAGACCAUGCACCACGCACCCAAUUCAAAAAGAGAUAGAUACCAAAUUGACUUUCUCUAAGCAAGACCAUAUUUCAAAAACUGAAAGAAAGGGCAACGAGAGUCCAGAGUUUUAAAGAGAUUCUGAGCUGAAGUAACCAACAUAUGCAUUAAAAGAAAUGAUGUCCUGCACUCCAAAAACAAGUGUACUAUCUCUUCGAAAAUCAAUUUUCAAGGAGGAAAACCUGUAACUUUUGGGGGUCCACGUUACAAAUUACCCAUAUAAGCAUGUAAUCCAGAAAAUGUCGAAAAUAUAAUGUCAUGCUAAGAAUGAAGAUAGAAAAUUACUUGGGUAUACUUGGUCAAGCGGAUCCUAUGUUGACUUGAGUCGCCUCCUCCAAAGAGGUCUGUUGAGUUCGUAGAAGGAUAUCUCGCAAGACUGAGAAUAGUACUUGUUGCUUUAUCAGCAAACUUUGAAAAGAAACCGCACCUUCGUUUUCCUGAAACAGUGAAAAUGAUGAUAUAUAGUGGACAGGUCAUAUUGACGAGGCGUUCAGUAUUCUUAGGGUCAAAAGGCUUCUAUUUACUCAAGUAAGACAGCAUACCGAGAGCAUACCACAACGGCAGGAGGCUCGUACGUAUCUGCUCAAGAUAAAUAUGAAACGAGUAAGUGACGAAUAAAAUUGCACAGAUUUCUAUUUUAUCAACCAAAGAGAUGGAAAGGUCUAUUACCUUAGGCCUCUAUCAAACCUACUAGUAAACUAAAUGAGAUUUUAUUUGCUAGUUACUUCCAAGAACUCUAUGAAUUUGUAUUAUUGUGACUCGAGACACUCAACUCUCAAGCCAUAUUCUUAAAAAUCAACAUUCCAAGUUCUAUUUCCUAGUCUUUUAAUUGUUUUUAACCAAAUCCUGAAUAUUCUACAAUUUUCAAAUAUACCUUGCUUUUUUGAAAUCUAAUGCUUCCACUUAAAAUCAGUCCCAAUACAGCAACUGGUCGUGAAUAUGAAUUAGACAUUUUAAUACUGGAUUGUGAUUCGAUAUUCAGUGACCGACCUGAUAAACAUAGAAACUCUGGUAGUAUACAACAGAUACGAGCAUGUUCCAGAAACUAACAGAAAUUGUAGGAUCAAGAUUGUCUGAUACUGAAUAAUAUCAAGAAGCCCAUUAUCACGUUCCUCAAUACCAGAGAGAUAUCAUUCAAUUUUAUCGUUUUAUAUUGUGCUUACUUGAUAGAUCCCACGCUCGUACCUUGUCACAUAAAUCACUGCUACUCAAGCCCUCUGAUUUUGUAGUGUUUGCGUUGAGAAAAACUAGAAUCGCUUCACAAAGAUGCUUCUCACUGUGAAAGCAAUUAAAAGGAGCAUCACAAUGAGUUCUCUUUAUAAAUAGUAGAAUAGGAAAAUCUUCUAACCUGUCAACAGUCAAAUCAGGAUGUUGGAUACAUGAGUAGAGUAGUUUGUCUGGGACAUCAGUGUAUGAGUUGAAUGAUAAUGCCCACAUCUGCAAAUAUAAAUUAUGACGUUAUCAGGUCUAAAUGAGGAAAAUGAGUAUAAGAUGACUGAGAAUCCAUAACUGUAAUUUGUUAAAGAAAUACGACCAUGAGCACACAACUUAGAAACAGAAACAACAAUAAUUCUGAACAAGAGUCGAGUAAUAAUGCAUCAAAAUUGUCGAGUCAAAACAAAAGCACUUACAAAGUUCAUAGCCAAAUAGCUUGUACAGAGCUGCAGAAUAUAAUCAUUUGCUGCAACAUAUUCGACUUCCAUCUAUAAGACCGAGUUCAAUAAUAUCGAUAAAGAAAUAAGUAAUGCUCAUAAUUUCUUAUACAUGCAUCUUUAUCAUAGUCUGCAUAACCAAAAAGAAAACCUUACCAAGCUCCAAACCAUACUUCCAGAUGUGAACCAAGCCAUCUAGGCAUAGUUGUGGUGAUUGAAUCCCUUUGAAAGAAGUCACUUCUUCCAACCAAACUCGACACUUACAGAGAAGUGAGUCCACCCCAAAAAAUAAAGCUGCCUGGGUAUAUAUAAAAACAAUUUCAGAAAUUGUGAUGGAAAACCUCCCAAUAUUAACUGAAAUAGAAUCAAUUUCCUAAUCGAAUCAAUUUCCUAAUCACUGAAUCCAACAUCAACUGCUUAGAUACAAAAGUUUUAGGAAAUCCACACCAACAGAUAACUAAGUCCUUAGGAGCUUUAAUAAACAGAGUUGAUAAGCGUAGAAGAAAAUUACUAUUUUAUAAAAAUCACAAUGACAAAAGCAAUCAAUCAAUUACUAAUCAAAAUGCUCUAUCGGGUGAAACAUAAUUCAUCAGCAAAGGGUUGGCCUCAAAGAACAGAAGUAUUACCUCAUUAAGAGGAAUAAAAUUAUCCGAGGAAAUUUCCACGUCGAAUCCAAAUACAUCCAUUAACACAUUCACAAACGACUCCACGUUCCAAUGUAUUGAUAUAGAAUUGAGCCUAGAUUCACUGAAAAAAAAAAUGCACAAGAACAACAUCAAUAAACGAUAAGCAUGGGAAAGCUUCAUCAGAAAACACGUGAUUAUUACCUAAAACUUCCACCAAGGAGUCCACGGAAAUAUGAAGAUUCUUCAAUAAGCCUGUGAAUUAAAAAAAAAAAAAAACACUUGAUCGGAAAUUUAUUACAAAUAGAACUAAUUAAAGAGUAUUGAAUUAAGAGUCGGGUUGAUUUUGNNNNNNNNNNNNNNNNNNNNNNNNNNNNNNNNNNNNNNNNNNNNNNNNNNNNNNNNNNNNNNNNNNNNNNNNNNNNNNNNNNNNNNNNNNNNNNNNNNNNAGCUGGAGGUCAUAUCGAUUAGAUGGUGACCGCCCUCUGAUUUUGAUGACUUUGUGAGUAAGAACUGAAGGCAAUCCCAGCUAUCGAUCUCGGCCGUAGAAAUUAUAAUCUCGUCGACGAUGUCGUCGGGUUCUCGUCCGGGUCGGAGCCAGUGCAUACAAGAGUUAAUAGGUCACCGGAAUCCUGAUCGUGUGCCGUCGACGCCAUUACAGUGUUGUACUUCGCUUCUGAUGUGGGAAGGAAAUUUCUGUUACUACCAUUUUAUAUGAAUGACCUUUUGCCUUGCCGAGUUUUUGGAUUUAUUUCUUAAACGAAGUAGCGAUUUAUAAUAAACGUUUUAGACAAUAGAAAUUAUUUUCAUUAAUGAUGCAUAACUAAAACAUUAGUAUUAAUCAGUAAUUACUAAUUAGUGCAACUCAUAUAUAUUAUAUACAAGUAUAAGAGAAAUUAAGCUAUACGCCUUAAUAAUGGUUCUUUUUAACUCUAGAAGUUAUUCAUUUGACAUUUUGUAACAUAAUUUACUAAAAGUGUGUGUAUAUUUUGAAUUUUGACAACCGAACCGAACGUGUUACUGGCCCCUACUAUUUAGGAACUUUAUAGCGAUAAUCAAAUGAGCCCUGAAGAGUUUAUAACAUAUUAUACGAUAUAGUGUAAUUUUAUGGUUUUAUUUUAUUAAAGUGGUUUAAUUUUAAAGAAUUAAAUGGUGGAUGUUGAGAAUUUUAAGGGGUAAUUAAAAAUAAGAACUUCAAAUAUAUUAAUUAAUUAAUAUUAAUAACACCAUAAAAGAGAUUUAGACAACUUAAAAAAAAUAAUUCAAAAAGGAAAUUGCAUGGCUUCAGUUUGCAGCUCCACCAAAAAUAUUUAAUUCAAUAAACAUACAAUUAACGGGAAAAUUAGAUGUUAUUCAUAAAGCCAAAAAGGGGAAGAAAAAAAAAUUCUCCUAAAUCGAAUUUGUUCGUCAUUAAUCAUUUUGGAGCGGAGGAAGAUACUAGAGAAGCGGUGCUGCGGCAACGGCGGCGGCGCACAAUAAGCUUUUCCGUUAUAAUCAGCUAGCGCACCACCUUCUUGUGAAAAUUCCUGUGACAGCUGCACGCCGCACACCUCAACGCGGCGCUGCUCCCCUCAUCUCCGGCCGGCAUGAACUCGCAGCAGCCGUCGACGGCGUACUUCCCGAUGCUGGCGGCGUGGUUUUUCCGGCACUCCUCGUAGGUCACAACUCUUUCGUCCUUAUCCGGAAUCUUCCGCUCGUUCUGGAUCAGAUUCAUUUUCGAAUAAGGUAGGCCAACUGUGAGAAGAAAAGACCUCAUCAUAUAUACAGUCGUUCAAUAAUGGAAAGCCCUAGUUUUUCAAUUGUGGUAAAAUUCGUACUCGGUGCAAUAAUGCAGUAGCAGUAGGAAGGGGGAGAAUUGCGCAGAGCAUUAUUUAGGGAUGGGUGUGCGGAAGUGGUUGGGGCGAUCAUCAGUAGGUGGCUGCGAUAGGUGGCGCAGCCGAUUUUGAUUGAUUUAUCGCCGGCAUUGGUAGAUCCGAUUUAAAUGGCGUGUCCGUAUGAAAAGGUAGGUUUAUUGUUGGGGUUUCAAUAAUGGCUGUUCACUAUUCAUUGGUCUCUCGUGCAUGGUC